CAGGCAGAUUCUUACCCAUUGCGCUAUCAGGGAAGUCCUUACCUUAGCAUUGCCAAGUGAUUACACUUAGGCCAAUUUUUCAUUGUAGUAAAUUAAAUCUGUAAUAAAUGUAAUCUGCUUUCAUGAUUCUUGAUGUGGAAAGUCUAGAAAUUUCCCUUUGUUCUUCCUUCUUAGAUCACUGAGAAAGAAGUAAGAUGCAGGCCCACUUUGCCCCUAUAUUAAUAUGGGCCUUGUUGAGACCAUUUGGAAGUGGAGCUCAGGCCUCAAAUAGGCUGUUCCAAGGCUAUAAAUGUAAUCACAUCCUGUCACUGCUUGAUUCCGUAGAGUUUAAAAUAGCGUUGGAAACCUCCUAGGAAAAAAAGCUCCACCGUAACUUCUUGGCUAAGGAAGUAGUAUGUGCUGGCCAAAGCAGAAGGAGUAGCCAGGGCUCCCAAGUUCUAUUCUGGACCUGUUGAUUUGAGAUGUGAUGUUCAGCAAUCUGAGAUGGUGUUCUGUAGCGCUAAGGUUUCUCAUCCUUAGCACAGAGUUUGUGCUUGCAGGGAAGGAGGCCAACACGCUGGUUUCCUGUCCUCUAGGAGAGUCUCAUUAUUAGAAGUCCUCCCUUUCAUUUGAAUUUCUGUGUCCCUACUUUUAUUUAAAUGAAGAAAUAUCCCCCACAGAGUUAAUACAGGAACCCCAGCAGUAUCAUCCAUGUUUUACUUGACUUCAUCUUAUCAGAAUUGCUGUCCUUUUAGCAGUGUGAUUUAGAUCAGCUCUUGUGAGGAAUGGGAACUUUGAUAGGGUUUUGGAAAAGGAAGGGAAAGUUUGUGUGGGGCACACACCUUGGACAACCAGAAAGGAACAUGAAGGGACCAGAAAUGAACAAAACUACGGGAGGUCUAGGAAUGGCGAAGCAGACACUGUGCGAGGGGAAGUCUCAGUCCCUCCUUGAGGAGCAUUUCUUGAGCCGUUUUUCAGGUAAGAGAGGGAAAAAUGCGUUCCUUCCCUUGGAAUGCUCUGCUCACCCUCCUGGUUACCUCAGAUUGGGUAAUUCCUGCCCCCAUUGACUUUUACUUUAGUCUUUUCAGUCUGAACACCAAAUGACAUGGUGACGUCUUAGUAUUUUAUAUUCUUAAGCUGGCUUUAAAUAAGUGAAAACCUUUAUUACAGGAUGUGAAUGACUGAAGGCAGCUUUACUAAGUUAGCAAAAUGUCAUGGAGGAUCUUCAAGGAUCCUGAGUUAAUUGGUUGAGUAGAUUGAUUGUUAAAAUUAUCCAGUCUAUAAUAGGUACUUGUAAAGUCUACGCAUUUAUCAAUUACUUAUUAACUGUAGAGUUAUGUGAUAAUUUGAUAUAAAGUGAUAAGGUAUGACAGGUGUAAGACUAAUGCUGUGGGAACUCAGAGAGGAAAGAUUAUUUUUAGCUUUUGGAUCUAGAGAAUCAGGGAAGUUUUGUGAAAACAGGUUUGUCUAACACUAAAUAAACUUGCACCCUAGUCAGAGGUGGCGUUGAUU
rnacentral:lncRNA from 1 species